GGUGCUGUGGCUUAGUUGGUCAAAGUGCCUGUCUAGUAAACAGGAGAUCCUGGGUUCAAAAUGCCCCAGCAGUGCCU
rnacentral:tRNA from 1 species